AGAUGUGAGGGCCAUGUGGCUAUGACAUCUGUCACCCCACUGAUUGCCAGGGUUGAUUCGGCUGAUCUGGCUGGCUAGGCAGGUGUUCCCUUCCUCCCUCAUCGCUCCAUGUGUGUCCCUCUCAAAGCUGUGCACUUGGUUGAAGAGGACAACUGCCCUAAUAGGGGAGGACUAUUUCUUUGGUCAAGGACAUACAAGUAGCUGUGGUCCCUUGCUUGAACCUCCAAACAAGCUCUCAGUGUCCAUAGUCUGCUGACUCCAAGGCAGAAACAGCAUGGCAGAAGAGGCU
rnacentral:snRNA from 1 species